rnacentral:rRNA from 1 species
UACGUAGGGGGCAAGCGUUGUCCGGAUUUAUUGGGCGUAAAGAGCGUGUAGGCGGCCAGGUAGGUCCGUUGUGAAAACUCGAGGCUCAACCUCGAGAUGUCGAUGGAAACCGUCUGGCUAGAGUCCGGAAGAGGAGUGUGGAAUUCCUGGUGUAGCGGUGAAAUGCGCAGAUAUCAGGAAGAACACCUAUGGCGAAGGCAGCUCGCUGGGACGGUACUGACGCUAAGGCGCGAAAGCGUGGGGAGCGAACAGG